rnacentral:ribozyme from 1 species
UGCCCAGCAACUCCUAUCCCUACCUCCUCUGGCCGGGGUACGAGUAACCUGUGGGAAGAUCGGGUAACCAACCCCCGGUGGGAACUUUGGUCGUAUGCUGACAGGGAAGG